rnacentral:rRNA from 1 species
UACGAAGGGUGCUAGCGUUAUUCGGAAUUACUGGGCGUAAAGGGUGUGUAGGCGGUUUAUUAAGUCCGCUGUUAAAUUUCCCGGCCUAACUGGGAAUCCGCAGUGGAAACUGGUUUACUAGAGUAUGGAAGAGAGAGGUGGAAUUCUCGGAGUAGCGGUAAAAUGCGUAGAUCUCGAGAGGAACACCGAUGGCGAAGGCAGCCUCUUGGUCCAUUACUGACGCUGAAACACGAAAGCGUGGGUAGCAAACAGG